GAUGCGACCUCAGCUCAGGCGGGGCUACCCGCUGAGUUUAAGCAUAUCAAUAAGCGGAGGAAAAGAAACUANCANGGANUCUCCUAU
rnacentral:rRNA from 1 species